rnacentral:lncRNA from 1 species
CCGGGGUCCGCUUUGGCCAGAGGCGCGGAAGGAAGCAGUGCCCGGCGACACUGCACCCAUCCCGGCUGCUUUUGCUGCGCCCUCUCAGCUUCCCAAGAAAGGGACAAAAGUGGGGAUUGGAGCAGUGAGGAUGCAUAAUAGGCUGUUUUCUCCUAUAGGCUGAGAAUACCUGAAGGUAAAGGCUGCACUGAAGCCCCUGUGCUUUCUCCCAGGUGGCGAAGUGUUGGCCUGGUGCACUG